UCACUCACACAGUCUGAGCUUUGCAACCUUUAGUCCAUGUAUUCAUGUGCUGGUUCUGGAUUAAUCUGGCCUGCUGACCAUGAUGGUCAUAUACUAAUCUGCACCUAUCGGUAUGGUAUCAAUGCUUUUAUGUUGAAAUCUAUCUAUUGUAGUGAGGGCACACAGAGAGGGUUGUUGCAAAGCCACUAGCACAGAGGAAACCACAGCAGGUUUAUUUACAGACAAAGGUUAGAGGCUCAUUACAGAAGAAACUAAUGCAUCGCAGGUUUAAAGGAUUCUUAUCAAGAUGACAACGAAAACAUCCUUAUUGUGUCUGCUGGUUCUGACAUCACUGCUGUGCCCCACAACACACCAAGCUGCUCUGACUGUGAGUCCCAGCAGAUUUCAGUUCUUUGAAGGAGCAUCUGUGUCUCUGAGCUGUGAGGAGGACAACAGCUCUGCUGGGUGGACUGUGAGGAGAGAGACAAUCUACAGAAACUCUACCUGUGGAGAAGGAUGGGGAGAAGUAGAAGGUUCUGUUUGCAACAUUACAUAUGUUUUAAAGAAGGACAGUGGACUUUACUGGUGUGAGUGGAGAGAGGGAGCAGCCAGCA